UGAAGGCAGUAAGGUCGGGAAAACGAUAAAACCUCUGCUCUGAACAUGAGAAAACUGUUCGACAUGUUAUAUCGAUAUAAAGUCAUUUGAUCAUUCGUUGAAGUCAGUCGUCCGGAAAGUAUUUCAUAACGUCAUUUACACUUAUUUAGAAGUGAUAUUUUAAUAUGUUUUCUUGUGUCUACAAAGGCUACAAAGGAGUUUAAUGUUAAGGUUCACUACCAAAGAGAUGUUUUUUUGUUUGUUUUUUUUUUGUUUGUUUGUUUCAGCGUAAUAGCUGAGGUGCAGUUUCCCGUCCACCUCCUCUGUGAUUGGCCGCCACUAAUUUCCAUGGACGAUUUGCACAGGCUAAAAAAGGGGCAGCUCAUCAAUCAGACCAAAGCUGUUUUGCAGGCUACUGUCAGUCACUCUCUGUGAGGUGUUACGGGUUCUGAAGCGUAGCAAACGUGGCUUUCUUCUCCUCGAGCGCCCUCUGCUGUCGCUGUUCGGGGAGUACACGGAAAGAAAUGAUAAAUGUUUGGAAAAUUGUUUUACUUCAACUUGGUGUAAGAGGUGCGUUCAAUAAAAAUAUUGUAUUUUUACUGCACCUAAGAGCUGUUUCGUAAAUAAACUUUCAUAUCAUAGUAC